UGCCUGUGGUGUCAUCCAUAUUUGAAAGU
rnacentral:sRNA from 1 species